AGCAUCACCUUCAAGGAGGGCAAGUAUAAAACCAGAGAGGAGGUGAGCAAGGUGCUUUGAAAAUAAUGAUGGAGACUGAGAAGAAAGUUUUACGGGAAUGCCCAUGAGAAUGGAACUGCUGGUGGAAAGACAUUCACACACACGCAUAUACCGAGGAAAAGUGCAGAAGCUUGCAGCAUGUUACUCCGAGUGAUUUCCUGCUUUGAAAUACUGAUUGAAGACUGGAAGGAUUCAGUUUACACAGAUCAAAGAAAGGUCUAAAAGGGAGGACCCAUUUACACACCCACCAAUUUACCAUCCCAUUUCUGAAGACAGAGAGAAAAUGUGUCAUUGCUUAAACAAACUUUGUAUAAUAAAGGAACUCAUGUUGCUUUUUAUGCUUACUGUCUUUUAUAGCCUAUCAAAGAACACUGUAAUAGGCAACUUUUAGGGAAACGUAUAUAUUAAAUAAUAUGUCAAACA